rnacentral:rRNA from 1 species
UACAGAGGGUGCAAGCGUUGUUCGGAUUUAUUGGGCGUAAAGCGCGUGUAGGCGGUCUGUUAUGUCGGGUGUGAAAGCCCUCAGCUUAACUGAGGAAGUGCGCCCGAAACUGGCAGACUUGAGUGCCGGAGAGGAUAGCGGAACACCCGGUGUAGAGGUGAAAUUCGUAGAUAUCGGGUAGAACACCAGUGGCGAAGGCGGGUCUCUGGACAGUUCCUGACGCUGAGGCACGAAGGUCAGGGGAGCAAACGGGG